UGACCGAUCGAGGCCCACUGGCUGCCCUCCGAGGCGGGGGGGGGGGGGGGGGUCGCGCCUCCCGUUUUUCUGUCUCUCCUUUUCCCGCCUCUGCCCAGGUUCUCUCCUCUCCGCUAGCGGCUCGCCAGAGGAAAGCGGCUCAGCUACGGGGUUCCCGCUGGGACCGCCGGGGGUCAUCCCACCCCUUAAGGGGGGGGCGGGAGCGCCCCGGGAGGGGGCGGCUAGCCCUUGGAGGGUGGGAGAGUACAAGAGCCCGAAGCUUCACACCUCCAGCUGACAUUUACCGGUAGCCCCCAACCCCCAUCGCAGGCUUUCACUCCGGAAGCCCUCUAUAACGCGAGGACUAGGUGCCCAGCUCUCCCCGGCUGCACGUUUGGCUCCCAGCUUAGGAACCACACAUGUACCCCGUGACCCCACACCUCGGACCCAUCGCUUUCCAGCGCCCAGCAGCGGAGCGGUGCUGGCACCCUGGGAAGGGCGGAGGUCUCUGGACGGUCUGCAGGAACCUAGAGCGCCAGGAAGCUGCACAGAACCAGGAGCAGGCUGGGUAGUGCCUCCAAGGCUUCAGCCUGCUGGACUGAGCAAAGCCGCCACAGUGCCCACAUUCCUACCAGUUAACUAUUGUUGCAGGGCAUUCUCUGGAUUUAGGUCCCUUUCCUUUCUCUUAAGGCAGAGAGUGUCUCUCUCUUCCCUCCCCCUCGAAAAAAUGCUUAAAAACAAACAA